CGGGGGGGGCAAGCGUUGUUCGGAAUUACUGGGCGUAAAGGGCUCGUAGGCGGCCAACUAAGUCCGACGUGAAAUCCCCAGGCUUAACCUGGGAACUGCGUCGGAUACUGGAUGGCUUGAAUUCGGGAGAGGGAUGCAGAAUUCCAGGUGUAGCGGUGAAAUGCGUAGAUAUCUGGAGGAAUACCGGUGGCGAAGGCGGCAUCCUGGACCGAGAUUGACGCUGAGUGAGCGAAAGCUAGGGGAGCAAACGGGAUUAGAUACCCCGGUAGUCCUAGCCCUAAACGAUGAAUGCUUGGUGUGGCGGGUAUCGAUCCCUGCCGUGCCGAAGCUAACGCAUUAAGCAUUCCGCCUGGGGAGUACGGUCGCAAGGCUG
rnacentral:rRNA from 1 species